rnacentral:rRNA from 1 species
GAGUUUGAUUCUGGCUCACCAACGAACGCUGGCGGCAGGCCUAACCCAUGCUAGUCGAACGCUCCCUUCGGGGGGAGUGGCGGACGGGUGAGUAACGCGUGGGAACCUGGCUCUUGGUACGGAACAACCGCGGGAAACUGCGGCUAAUACCGUAUACGCCCUGAGGGGGAAAGAUUUAUCGCCGAGGGAUGGGCCCGCGUCUGAUUAGCUAGUUGGUGAGGUAACGGCUCACCAAGGCAUCGAUCAGUAGCUGGUCUGAGAGGAUGAUCAGCCACACUGGGACUGAGACACGGCCCAGACUCCUACGGGAGGCAGCAGUGGGGAAUAUUGGACAAUGGGGGCAACCCUGAUCCAGCCAUGCCGCGUGAGUGACGAAGGCCUUAGGGUUGUAAAGCUCUUUCAGUGGUGACGAUGAUGACGGUAGCCACAGAAGAAGCCCCAGCUAACUCCGUGCCAGCAGCCCGCGGUAAUACGGAGGGGGCAAGCGUUGUUCGGAAUUACUGGGCGUAAAGGGCGCGUACGCGGUCUGUUGCGUCAGGUGUGAAAGCCCCCGGGCUCAACCUGGGAGGUGCACUUGAUACGGGCAGGCUUGAAUCCGGGAGAGGAUGGUGGAAUU